CAGAAUUGAACUGAAUUAUAGGACAUCCAGCUGGUGUCUCCUGGAAAAUAGCUUGGUGGUGUUAAAUCGAACUAAAUUUGGGCCAGUCCUAUGUACCAAACUGUAGCUUAAUUUAGUUUGUAAACAAACUGAAAACCAACUGAGGAAUGUGCCUUUGUAAGAAAUAACUUAGUCUCAGUUGAUCCCAUAUUUACCAUAGCCAAAAGGUACAUGCAAACCUAAAACAGAUGAAUGGAUAAAUAAAUGUGGUUUAUAAUCUACAGUAUUAUUCAGCUAUAAAAAGGAAGUUCUGACACAAGCUACAGCCUUGCAGAAUUAUGCUAAAUUAAAGAGACCACUCACAAAAGAACGCUGAUGACAUCUGAGAACACUUGAAGGCCACUGUGAAAGGAGACCCAGCACUCCUCCUAGAAUGAAAUCAUCAUGUCAAGCAAUUUGGGUCCUGUCCUGGAGAAAUGUCCCUGCUGCUAUAUCUAGGAAGUCCACUGGAGCCCACUUCCGGACCCAGGAUCAGCUGAGCAGCUUCACAGCCACUCACUGCCCUGACGAGAAAGCAGCCAGACCUCAGAAGCAAAUCAGCAGGGCCAGCACCACUGUUGAGGAGGCCCAAAGGCUGUGAAGGCUGAGCUCCAGAUCCUCAUUGAUAAAAGCCAGCUGACAGCGAAGACCCCUUAUUAUCAGCGACCUCAGCCAACACACAACCUUCAAAACAUACUUUCUCCAGUUAUUUUGCAGUUUUAUUGGUUUCUUGCUAACCAUGUUGCUUGUAGCCCAUGUCUUCCUCUUUCCCCUCUCUUCUUCCUCCUUCUUUACCUUCUCUUGGUGGAUCUUCAUGUGUCUCUUGCAGAAAGCAUUCCUGGAUGGCAAACUUUUCGAAUCUUUGCAUGUGUGAAUACAUGUUAAUGUUGCUCUCACUUCAUUGUGGAUGAACUGGGUAUGGAAUCCUGGAUUCAGAAUAUUUAAGUGAUACUUCAUGAGGUAUAAAUUCUGAAUUCAGAAUAAUUUUCUGUCAGAAUUUGGUAAAACAUUUCCUUGAUAUUUGUACGACCUUGAAUUUGAUCCCCAUAGCUGCCAAAGAUAAAAAAUUGAAAAACUGAAAAAAGCCUUCUGUUCCCCUGGAUCCUCACACACACACACACCUUUUGGGAUUUCCCAGGAACCCAGACAUUUCCUGAGGAUACAGUGUUUCAUUAUUCCUUUUCAGCACUCAUGAGUCCCUUUCAAUUUGUAGACUUGAGCCUUUCUUCAGGAGAGAUUUAAAAAACACUUUUAAUAUUUCAUUCCUUCAAUUUUUUCUAUUUGUCCUUUCUGGAACUUUUGGUUGAAAAUUUAAAAAAAAACAAAAGAACAACUUGCCUGUAGCCUCCAUGACUCUUAGUAUUUUUCUUACUUGCUUCCUUUUCUUGCCUUUAUUCACAGAAUAUGGGAGAUUGCCCUAACUCAAUUUUGUGAACUUCCUCUUUGCAAAUUUGAUCUCCAUCCAUGCCCAUUUUGCUCUACUUCAGCCAUCUGUUGCAAGAUUUUUUUUUUUAUAUCAGCAGUCAUCCUUCUAAUUCCCAAGAACCCUACUUCUUUUUAUAGGGUGGGUCUUAUUUCUGUACUGGUGAUAACUUUGGUCCCAUCAGGAGGUUGUACACUUACUUG
rnacentral:lncRNA from 1 species